rnacentral:rRNA from 1 species
GUUCGUGGAGUGAUCUGUCUGCUUAAUUGCGUUUCACCAAGGGCCUAUAAUUUUACGUGUGUUGCGGCACUUUGACCCCUCUUUUUUUAAAGAGCGCGUGUCUUGGUUUGCUUAGCUCGCACAAUUAGGUCCUGAAAGCAACGAACGUGACCGCAACCUCUUGUUGCCUUUAUACCAAACGUGCAUAUGCAAUUUUUUAAUUGCUUUGCGCGCAAAAAGGCUUUUUAAACUAGAGGGACCGCUGUUACUUUCUUAAACCAGAGGAAGGUUGCGGCAAUAACAGGU